AUUUGUCAACUUUGAUAUCCGGAUCACUCCUGUUAUAUUGAUUUUUUUUUUUUUUUGCUGGAUGAUUGUUACGUGUCAGUGUAGGAAACAGAAUACGUAAUAAUGAAAUAAUCGAAAAACUCUUAAUUAAACUGAAAAUUUAUGUGAAAGGCUAGGCUGUGGAUCGAUCGAUCUCGUAUCAAAAUCAUCGAAAUUAAGCAUUGAAACGUUCGAUGGAUGGCUCUCGGUGAAAUUCCAAGAAGAGAUCACACGAUCCCAAAUAUGGAUCCUACACACGGGCAAAAUUUAUGUGUUGUAUUUUUGGGACCAAUAAGGCAAUUAAGGUGUUUUGAGUUGAGCCUAAAGAUUAGGGAUGCACUACAUAAAGUUCUUAACGAGUUGUUUUGGAAGAUAUCCAAAAAAAUGAGAAGACAUAUAAAAUCUCUAAAACAAGAGACGAAUUCACGUAUCAUCAAUAUUAUCUAUUACCAACUUGAACUUUUAUACAUCCUUGUUAUACUAAGGAGUUUGUGCCAUAUUUCUUUGUUUCCAAAUUUUACAUACAAACACUUUCAAAUACCUAGUGUGAGUUUUAAAAUCUACAUUUUGGCGCCGUUCAUUAGGACAAUAAAUAAAACACAUCAUUGCUAAAAACCCGAUCCAAGAUUUGUAAGCACAACAAUGGAUCUCUCUAUUACGGAUUCCGGUAUACCCAAACCAUGCAUCAAUGGUGCCGAUAUCACAAGAUCUGAAAUAAGAAACAAAAUUGAUACCUUGCCCACAGAUACAGAGCAAACCGAAUCAAAUGUAACUAACAGGACGAGCUUACUACAACAUGCAUCAACCCCUUUUAAAAUCUCAGGAUCCUCUAUGAUCCCCGAUUAUUCGGGCUCUCUGCCACAAUGGCAGACCAAUACGAGAUGACCUCAAACCAUGGUAUCAAGAUCAGUAUUUUCCUUGUCAACGGCACAUACCCUCGAAGAAAUAAUUGAGCUGUGAUACCAUCGUAAUAGAUGAAUCUCAAAGCCAAGAGCUCGCUCAACGAACUAUUCUUUGUUGCUUAUAACAAAAUGAAAAGAAUCUCACGUCACAUCGAGCCAAAAUACUUGAACGCUUAGGAAGCCGACCUGAAACAAAAAAUCGAGUCCCACACCUUGAUAACAGCUGAAUUACCCAGGGAACCUUAGCACUUCUGAGUUUCUCAACUCCCGAUUUGUACUCUUUGAGAUCAAGGAAGCAUGCGUCUAGGACAACACCUUGAUAUGGAACAAUCAAUCACAGUUGAGAUUAAACAUGUUGGUCGAUAUUCAAACUAGAGAACUCAAACAUGAAGUCCACCAGUUUGAACCCCUUUUAACUUAAGCGAUGGAUGACCUGACCACACGGGAACUUCCGAGCUUUUGAGCUCCUGAAAACGUAACCCCAUGAAUCCUAAUUGAGCAUCCACAUCAAACAACCAGAUUACAACAAAACAGAACAUGAGCUAUGGAUAAUGAAUUUUUGUUUUUGCAGACCCAAAACCUGAAGGGGUAGACUCAAGAAGUAUGAUUGAUGUUGAAGCUUUCCAAGGUUUGAGAAGAAUAAUGACUAGUUACGAAGAAUCCACGCCAUCAUAAACAUGGCGACAAGAUUUAUUCCAGAUAUAGAUCGCGUCAUAGAAGAAGUCUGGUGCACUCCUUCCACAAAUUGAAUAGAAAGUCUACGACUGCAUGACAUAGGGAAAAUCUGGUUCCCAAAAAUACUCUAGGAACACAUAAGCUUUUUGCCUAGCUGUCUCUUGAGCUCAUCUAACUGACAAAGAGAAAGAAGUCAUUAUUGAUGUUUCUUCACCGAUAACUUAAUCGAUCCGGUAUUUGCGUGGUUCACAAGACUCAAAAGAAAUUACAUUGUUAACUUUACCCAGAUUGUAUUCGCAAUCCUAAAGCAAUACUCAAUAUUCAUUAAACCGGCAGUUUCAAAAACGGAUUUGUGAAACCUAAAGUAAGUACCAUUCAAAAUUUUAGGUUGUACAUCACACUGUUCAAGGAUAUAAAAGCUCGAAUCUCAGACCUCAACGAAAAAAUAACCUUUGCGGCCCUCAAGAAAGGAGUAUGGUUCUCACUUAGGUUCAGAGAAGAGAUGUUAGUGAGAGCACCAGUAUCAUUGGAUGAUGCCCUUCAUUGAGCUUUAUACUUUGCAGUCCAUGAGGAGGAUGUUAUCCAUUAAAGAAUAAUACAAUGCGAAAAACGGUCCCAAUUCGAACAAGAAACCACCUAACCAGAACAUGCCAUCCACUUACGAUUCUAGCAGAUUUUUCUCAUUUCACUAAAAAAAAAAAACUUCAAGCCUUACUAAAAACUAAGAACAACAAAGAAGAAAAAAAACGAAAAAUGAUUCUGAAAAAAAAUUGUGAUAAUGGUGAAAAUAUGUACUUCUGUUUUAAUAAUAUAGAUUUGUUCAUUGCAACUAAUUAUUUAUAUAACAAUUUUUAUUUUUAAAGCCUUUAAAAAGAAACGUUUAUUUUUGACAAUUAUUUUUGACAAUUGUACAGUUGUUAAUUUGCUGUCUAAAUAUAAUUCUUUCAGUAGGUCAGCGGUCAUAUAUGUAAGUGCGACUAAUGUUUCAAAAAAGAAAGUAAAUGCCACUAAUGCAUUCGACAAAGCAAGGACAACACAUGGCCAUAAUCAUUUCUUUACGUGGGUGUGUUUUGUUAUCUUUGGUUACCAAACAAAAAUAAAUGGUGAAUAUAAUUACGUCUACUUCAAAUUAAAUAAGAGGUCACGUUCUUGGUUAUCGUUUUGAAAUAAACUUUCAAUCUUCCUAUCAAUUGGAUGAUCCGUGAAACAUCGGAUGACAAAAUAUGACAAAGCCCUCGAAAAAGAAAGUAGGAUACAAAGAAAGGAUACAUCAUGAUAAUAAAAAGUUUGUUAGUUUAAAACGUUGAAGGAAGAAAGUAGAGACGUAUGGGAAAUUGGUUCGUUAACGAGAGAGAGAGAGUUGAGGAUAUUGAGAUGUUAAUUUGAAAAAUGGAGACAGUUAGGAUGAUAUCUAACUUAUGGCUGUCUUCUUAAAUGAGUCAAAUGGCUGAUCCAUUUAACGGGAAGUAGUUGAAGCAACUCUUUAUCAUUAUUGCAAAAUUUUUCUCUUUUCUACAAGUUUAUGGUUUUAAAAAGAAUUAAAUUAGAUAGGUUCGAUGUUUUCUGAGUCUUGAGUAGAGCUCGGAAUUUAACUCUUUAUCCGCGGAUCCAGCCCCGUUUGACCCGCCGCGAGACGGUGUGGAUGGCCAAUUCAAAAGAGGGUCGAGUCGGUUUUAAGUAGGACGGGUGCGAGUUGGUUGAAUUUGAAUCGCGGAUACGUGCCAACUCGCAGAAAAAAAAUAUUUCAAAAAAUAUAUAAAAUAUUUAAAAAAUUAUAUAAUUUUAACUAUAAAUAUAAAAAUUAUAUAAUUUUAACUAUAAAUAUAAAAAUUAUAUAAUUUUAAUUAUAAAUAUUUAAUAUUAAUUAUUUUAAAUAAAAAAUAAUAAUAUACAAUUAAAAUAUUUUUUAUUUUAAAUUUAUAUGACUCACGGGUUCUGUAGGUUACCCGCAAAUCUAAACGGGACAGGUGCGGAUAUACAAUUAUUUCUUCGUGGAUCAUGCGAAUCGAAAUUUUGACUCGAAAAAAAUGAAUCAAUCCGCAAGUUUGCAGGCCAGGCGGGACGGAUCGACCCGCAAAUCCAGCUAUAGUCUUAAGACUGACUUCCGUAGGCUAGAAGAGAGAUGCCCAGAUACAAUUGACGCAAUCAAUCCAAACUGUACCAAAAUAAGGUGGAAACUCGUGCAAGCUUGAGUUUGGUGAUUAUUGUUUCUUUACAAGAUUCAGAAAGAUGACGUAGGAUUGUGGAUCUAUACUUUUUUUGCAUCUGAAAUUAUAUUAAAAUAAUUGACAAGGCACAAAAAAUUUGAUACAAAGACGAAUAUCAAAAUCCAGUGUCGGCCUUCAGAAUAUAAAGACCGAAAGCAAUUAAAAAAAUUUAAGGUUUGGCAAUCAAUAAAAUACUUUGAAGUAUUUGUUAAAGAAAAUGGAGACGCAAAGUAGUUUGCAUCCAGUUGUUAACCUUUUGACUAUCUCGCCAUCGUAGCAGCAUCACUUAGGGCCUAACCUGUUAUCAGUGCCGUGCCAAGGAUUUUAGGGACCUAAUGCAAGUUUUAAAAAUAAAUUUAUAUACAAAUAUAAAGAAAACAAUUUUCUAAUACGAUAUAUCACCUUCGCGAAAUACAUAAGUUUAACACUUAUUACGUAAAUUUGCUAUAUUAUGUCUUAUAAAAAAUACUACAAGAAAACACGCCGAAUUCUGACGGAUGCCAACAGCGUCAGACUUUUUUGACGGAUUUCCGACGAAAACAAAAAAUUUGAAGUUGUCGGAAUUCUGUCGGCCAAUUCCGACGAAUUUCCGAGAAAACAUGGGUCGUCAGAAUUUUUCGACGACUUUUCGACGACAUUCCGAUAAAAACUAUAACCGCUGUAGUCGUCAGAAAGUCGUCGGAAGGUCUGACGAAAUUCCGACGAAUCCUUUUUUUCGACGAAAUGAUACCGACGAACGCGUUCGUCAGAAAUUCGUCGGAAUAGGCCUAUUCCGACGAAUUUCCGACGAUUUCGGCCAUCAGAAUCCUCCUGUUUUCUUGUAGUGAAAGUAUAUGGAUUUAAAAAUUGAGUUAUUCGAUUAUCGUGGAAAGUUUUUUUUUAGAAAUAAGUUUAAGCAACUAAACUAGAAAUUAUUUUAAAUUUUGGAGUCCUAAAAAAUAUAAUAUUAUUCGGGGGCGUAAGGCGAAUACAUUUUUCAAUACACUGUAGGCACGCCUCUGCGUGUUACACCUCAAGUUAGCACUUUAUCUCACUACCUCUAAACCUGAAAUCUAUAUAUCUAUAUAUAUAAAGAAAUGUUUGCCUUUUUUGGGAAGCUGCAAUGAUGGUGCAAAGCAGCUCCAUGCUUUUUCUUCAGCCACCAUGAAAGCAACGAAUCACUCACUCGCUCACCAACCAACAACACAAACACAAAAUCGGUAAUGUGAUUCAUCUGGUCUUGCAACGAUACCGUAAGUGGCACCAAAACUGAAACGUCUUCGGUUGAUGGGCCUACAAGAAGUAGUGGCUCAUCAAGGGAAGAAGAAAACGAUGCAAAUCAUUCAGAUGAGGUCUGAGUAAGUAAACAAAGCGUCACCGAAACAGAACGAGAUUUGCCUAUUGUAGCAUAAAUAUCUGAUGACUGAAGAAAUAAUUAACGUACCAGUUUAUAAGAUUACAUUCUAAGAUAUAUUUGAAAAUUGAGGGAUGGUGUGUCUGUAGUUUCCUUACAACCAUGGUACCCGUGGCGUUCUGGUUCUAAUUCCAGUUCAUGUGAACUUAGCGGAGGAGAAGCUGAUGCUCUGCGACAGUGACACACGGCAGGAGAGUUAAGGAGGGGUUUGUUCAACUCGCUCCUUUGAGUUGGCUCGGUGAUCGAGGCAGUCGCACCAGAGACAUUUGAGGUUAUGUCUGUCAUCCACAUCCUCUUCCCAACUCAUAUCUUCGUUGCCGAUUGCACAAAUCCAUAAUUCUUUGACAUGGAACAUUGUUGCUCAGUGGCCACAAAAAGAUUCCGAGAGAGCAGAGGAACAUGGGAUCUGAGGGGUCAAGAGCUGCAGAUAUGCCAGCGAUAGCCACAGAGUACAGCCAUGUAAUGAACUAGCCAAGCUACAGAGCGUCUGCAGAUUUAUUUGAAGAAAAAGAGGAAGAGACAGAUGAGAAGAGGGGACAGCAGAAGUGUCUGGCUUCAACCUUUCAUCACUAACCAGAUAUUUGCAAGGAUUACAAAGAUACCGAUUAUGUGGAUACGGAGGUGGGGGUGGAUGUAAGUCUCACGUGACCGUGUGGAAUGAUACAAACCAGGAUGAAGAUAAAGAAAGAGUGGAAAAAGGCAGAGAAAGUUAGAAAUGAAAAUAAAACUAUGGAGGAGUUGAAAAUUAGGAUAAUGUAAGUACCUGAGUACUGAAAACAACAUUAACGAAGACAAAGAUACAUUCCCCUUUGUUUGCUUCAUAUGCAGAGAGCCUUUUGUGAAUACAGUUGUCACCAAAUGCAAGCAAUUCUAUGUGAGAAUUGUGCUUUGCCUUUAUGGUUUAGCUAAGAGUGCCUUCUGCUCAACCAACAAAACUUGUUUCCAACUUAUGUAAAAAAUAUUAUUUUUUUGAAUGAACAAAGAUUUAAGGAUGGUUA